CGUAGGGUGCAAGCGUUAAUCGGAGUUACUGGGCGUAAAGCGUGCGCAGGCGGUUUGGUAAGACAGAUGUGAAAUCCCCGGGCUUAACCUGGGAAUUGCAUUUGUGACUGCCCGGCUAGAGUUUGGCAGAGGGGGGUAGAAUUCCACGUGUAGCAGUGAAAUGCGUAGAUAUGUGGAGGAAUACCGAUGGCGAAGGCAGCCCCCUGGGUCAAGACUGACGCUCAUGCACGAAAGCGUGGGGAGCAAACAGGAUUAGAUACCCUGGUAGUCCACGCCCUAAACGAUGUCUACUAGUUGUCGGGUCUUAAUUGACUUGGUAACGCAGCUAACGCGUGAAGUAGACCGCCUGGGGAGUACGGUCGCAAGAUUA
rnacentral:rRNA from 1 species